AAUUUUCAAAAAAUUUUAAAUAAAGCUCGAAAAAUCCAGAACAAUUAUAAGUUAUUCCACAAUUUUCAAUCAACAAAAAUGACCAAUUUUCAUCCCGAACAACUUCAAAUAAAAAUUCAUAAAUAAAUUUUGAAAAAAAAUCAAUUUCAAGGAUACUCAAUUUGGCAAAAUUGUUGACCCGAAAAUCAAUGACAAUUCUAGAUACAUAUAAAAUAAAAUUCUACACAUCAUGUAAGACCUAGGAAUUAAUUGUAUCGAUUUAUCAUCAUAUUUGUUAAAGAAAAUGUAUAAAUAAUUCUCAGAAUCGUGAAAUUAAGAUAAUAUUUUCAAAUUGAGUUAUGCACAAUAUUCAAGACAGGAGUGGCUCUUUGAGCAUCUUUUUAUUAACAUUCCACCUUAUAUCACCUACAUGAUGUAAAGCUCUUUGAGCAAUUUCCUUUCUAUCUCUGAAAAGUACUUCCCUUUUGUUUCAU
rnacentral:lncRNA from 1 species